rnacentral:lncRNA from 1 species
AAGGAAAAUGCUGGACCGCAAAGGUGAGAUACGAGGAAGAGCUGGUUGAGGCGAUCAAGACAGCUACAACGGAGAAGAAGGAUAGUCUUUGUUUCAUUGAAGUGAUAGUUCACAAAGAUGAUACGAGCAAAGAGUUGCUUGAGUGGGGCUCACGCGUCGCUGCUGCUAAUGGUCGUCCCCCAAACCCUCAGUAAGGGAAUCUUGAGUGGGCCUCACGCAUCUUAAAUCACAUUGUUUCCCUGUUUAGUACUACUCUUUGUUUUUUUC